rnacentral:rRNA from 1 species
GUGAGGAAUAUUGCGCAAUGGAGGCAACUCUGACGCAGCCAUGCCGCGUGCAGGAAGAAGGCGCUACGCGUUGUAAACUGCUUUUAACCGGGAAGAAACCCCAGGACGUGUCCUGGGUUGACGGUACCGGAGGAAUAAGCACCGGCUAACUUCGUGCCAGCAGCCGCGGUAAUACGAAGGGUGCAAGCGUUAUCCGGAUUCAUUGGGUUUAAAGGGUGCGUAGGCGGAGCGUUAAGUCAGUGGUGAAAUCCUGCAGCUUAACUGUAGACUUGCCAUUGAUACUGGCGCUCUUGAGUGCGCUUGAAGUGGGCGGAAUGUGCCGUGUAGCGGUGAAAUGCUUAGAUAUGGCACAGAACACCAAUUGCGAAGGCAGCUCACUAAGGCGAUACUGACGCUGGGGCACGAAAGCGUGGGGAUCGAACAGGAUUAGAAACCCCUGUAGUCC